rnacentral:rRNA from 1 species
GGGCCCGCACAAGCGGCGGAGCAUGCGGAUUAAUUCGAUGCAACGCGAAGAACCUUACCAAGGCUUGACAUCCUCGGAAGUCCGUAGAGAUACAGAUGUGCCCUUCGGGGAACCGAGUGACAGGUGCUGCAUGGCUGUCGUCAGCUCGUGUCGUGAGAUGUUGGGUUAAGUCCCGCAACGAGCGCAACCCUUGUCCUUAGUUGCCAGCAUUUAGUUGGGGACUCUAAGGAGACUGCCGGUGUGAAACCGGAGGAAGGUGGGGAUGACGUCAAGUCCUCAUGGCCCUUAUGUCUAGGGCUACACACGUGCUACAAUGGCCGGUACAAUGCGUUGCAAUGCCGCGAGGUGGAGCUAAUCGCAAAAAGCCGGUCUCAGUUCGGAUUGGAGUCUGCAACUCGACUCCAUG